GAAGCAGAUGGCAGACUUGAGACUUGGGGUCCUUCCACUGUAUUAGCACAUGCUCGUCUGUCAUAUUUGACUGGCCAAAGUGACAUGUCCAUCACCUGUAAUGGGCCGCCAGCUGGCAGCGAGCAUUUCGCUCCACUUUACUGCCAUUUUUCAUUUCCAGCUAUAUUCCAGCGACUUGCUUUUUCCUCAUCUGUCACUGCCGUACUAACUUUUUUUUUUUUUUCUCCUUUCAGUGGCAAGAAAUUAAGUUGUGUCCACAGCUUAUUUCCUCUCAUCGGUCAGCGCCAUAAUUCAGCCACUAAAAACGUCGCAACUGGAGUAACGGGUUCACAUGUAAACUUCCACGAGGGGUGACAAACAGCUCGAAGCAUUGACGCCUCGCCUCAUAUUUGAGGAAAUCUGCAAAGAAAUUCUCUGAAGAGCUUCAAUGUGUUUUUCCCGGCUGGAGGUCAUCCAGUCCUCAGAUCAAAAAUCCAACCGUGGUCUCUCCUGUACCAAAUACCACGACCGUCUCAAGUUGUCAAGAUCGCUCCGUGUGUACAGAUACCACCAGAAGAAGAAAACCAACAAAUACCGGACGGAUCAGCCGGCGCCACGUGGUAUUGAUGUCACCUCGUCAUGGAGACUCCGCCCCGAGACAUGGCCAUCCGACCUGAACCUAAAAUCCUCAGGCAUCGCCGCUGUUCAUUGUCCUUGAGACGUUCCGGCGGGUGCGAAAUGAGUGAGUAACUAUUCACCGUCUUGUACAGUAACGCUCUCCUUCACGAGGCAGCCGUUUGAUUGGAGGGAUGACACGUGGGCGUGAGCUCACCGAGGAUCAACGGACAGCUAAUAGAUGGAGACGCAAUUCAGCGAGGACGAGCCGUUUGCCGCUGUCAAUACGACAAAGGCGGCGUCGGCGGCCGCCCAUCGAUCUCCCCGCAGCCCGCGCCCGAGACGGCUUCAAAAUUCAGCAAUAAUCCUGACAAACAAGGAGCGGCGCCGCGGCCAGAAAAUCGUCAAUAAACGGCGGCGGAGACAAAAUGCCAAGUCCAACGUGCCUGUUGUGAAGGCGAAGGUUCAACAGGCCAAGAGGUGAAAAAGCCACGGCAAUCAUUUACCCGCCGUGUCACGCCACCGUGAUGGAGUUGAAUUCUGGUGCUGGACCUGCCUACCUCGGUGCGAAAAGUGGCAUGUGGCUGAAGGUGAUGCUCGACGAAUCCCCGGAGGCUGUAAGAUGCUCUCAACAUCACGGUAGUCAUACACCAUCGGCCAGCGACGAAGAUUGAUACUUGCGAGAUGAAAGCAAAAUUGAAACCAUGAAGCUAAACGUUGCAUUCAAAAGCUCAUAAAAGAGAUUUAUUUACGCGGCUUCGAUGUCGAAUGACUCACGCGGCAGUGGAUUGUUUGCCAACGUUGCUCUUCAUCCUGUGUAUCGCAGAUAAGCUUUGACUCCAAGCUGGCAAAAAUGGUUGCACUCUCCGGAGGGAAGGAGUCUUUCGCCACCUGUUGGAUUCUUUUCGCAUUGCAGCACAAACUCUGCAAACGAGUUGGGCUCACCUAUCGAGAAGGUUUUUCUUCAUUUGAACCGAAUGGAACUUCUGUUUGAUUCAAUAUUUGUAUGGAGCUCUGCACCUUGCCGAGCGUAUUGAGGACGUUCUCGUGACCGCGGCAGGCAGGCCGGCCCGGGUCCCGGCGCCGCGACACAACGGGCCCGCUGGUCACGACGAGAGGGAAGUGUGGACGGGGAAACCGUCGAAGGGGCUGUCGAGUUGGCUGAGCGUCACGCGCCGCAAGUUGGAAGAUGCCGGCCACUAAUACGGCACCAGUGUCGCUCGUCCUCGUCUCUGCUACCUGUCACCGCGCCCCUUUCGUCAUGUUUGGAAACAACAGCCAAUAAACAAUCUGGCCAUGCUGAGAAGAUGGAGAGAGGAGCCGUGUCUCCACAACAGCACUGUUCGACUCUGCGUGACAAGAUCUUACUGCACCCAGGUGGUUGAGGUGCAAAACAAUGUCCAUUGAAAAAUGUGGCAAAUUCGUUUGCUUUCAUGCUUUACGGGGGUCCACCGGCACGGGACCUGACGAUCAACGGCUCACGCGGCCCAUCAGCUCCACUUUGGAACGGGUGGCAUGCGCAGGCUGACGUGACUGCCUUGGAGCAGCGCAGCCGCCACUUGCCACCGCUGCAUUCCUCCUCCUCCUCCUCCUCACGACAGUAAGAGCACCUUGAUGGAUUGCCUUGCCAAAAGUGCUGAUCACAGAGGGUUCAAAGGUCACGGCAGGAGCAAAACAGCAACUUGAGGCUGGACUCUGAGCUUUCUUUUUCAAGACGACUUGGGAGCGCAGUUUGCAAUGAGGUAGUGUGCAGCACCAAAUUUUGAAAUCCUCCCCCUUAGAAAAAAAAAGAAAAUUGCACACUUUUUGUUUGUGGUUCUGACCUGAAUCACGUCAUCACUCGAAGCUUCUUGUAAGCUCAUCUUCAUGUGCUGAAAAAUUAAAACAUGAUUUCAGGGUUGUA